ncrna:unclassified sequences IMES-5 RNA
CAUAUUUCGGAAAGAACUGGACCUCGAGACCCAGAUCAGGAAGAAAAUGGACAGAAGAAGAAGGGUGAGAAAGUUAAUUUAUAUUAACAAAAUGUGAGCUGAAAUGGGUAUCGGCCACACAGUGAGAAACCCGCACUGGACCCUUCAACUUCG